rnacentral:tRNA from 1 species
CCGACUUUAGCUCAGUUGGUAGAGCGGAGGACUGUAGUUGUUUGCUGUCAUCCUUAGGUCGCUGGUUCGAAUCCGGCAAGUCGGA